GGGCUCGUAUUUUUUAUAGACGCAUGCAUCCAGUCAGCAAAAACCGUGUGCGUGAUUAAGCAGUCAUCUCUCACAGCUGUCUCCACAUCAGUGAAGUGGUUGCCAAGGCAAAGCAGAGGAUCAGGCAGCAGAAUGCUUUGUGAAACCUAAAAGGAACCUGAAAAGGCGCCUACUGUUUGGUUUUGGCUCGCUGCAGGAGUUCGGCUUCUCUGGAGAGUUCAUGUUUCUGCUCUUUUGUUCAGUGUACAUCAGACAGAAUGGUUGGAUGGUCCUUGCCAGAUCACAGACUUCAGAAAACACCAAAGAAUGUCCAUAAAUGGCACCAGUGGAGGGAAAUGAGUUCCACGUGUGGGAAAGAGCUGGAGCUGAAAAUUGGAUCAUCCUGUAGAAGAUUUCAGGAAGAGGUGGAAGAUUUGAAGUUGGGUGAGAAGACAUAGUUCAUAAUUCUUGCAGCACAAAUGCUCAUCUCAAUCAGCGAUGACCUGCUCUCCAUAAAUCAAAAGGUAAUGUAAAACAAGGUGGAGGAGAAAAACGGAAAUGUGCUUUCCUUUCCCAUCUCACCCUCCCGUUGUCUCAGAAGAGAAAAACGGAAGUCGACAGAUCAUUCACAACAUCAGAGGCAAAGAUUAAUGGUUUAUCCUUGAGAGCAG
ensembl:lncRNA